rnacentral:sRNA from 31 species
UAUUCUGCCCAGACGGGAAGGAUGAGAAGCUUCGACUAAGGUUCGAUUCGAGCGUUAGCGAGAAAGCGUUGCCGCAGGCAACGACCCGAAGGGCGAAGCGCACCGCGCUGAGUAAUCCUUCCCCCACCACCA